UCCCUAGUGGCUCAGAUGGUAAAGCGUCUUUCUGCAAUGCAGGAGACCCGGGUUCGAUCCCUGGGUUGGGAA
rnacentral:tRNA from 1 species